GCCGUCACGUCCGGGGCUUUCCCUGGCAACAGGGCGAGCGUCCCCUGCAACGCGGACAGCGGACCGGAGGGGCAAAUGGAACAUUCCAUUGCACCCAAAGAACUGGGGAGGAAAUAGGCGGAGCGAUCCAUUUAGCCGGAUGGGGAGAAGCAACCGCGGAAAAGGCUGUCUGGCUUCGCAGCAGAGCCCAAGAGGACGAGAGAGGGGGGAGGUUAGGACUGACGGAAGGCGACUCCCGCUUCUAUCGCUGGACGCCAGGCGUGUGGCAGGCCACCAACCGCCCCUGACGAGCCCCUCUUCCCACUGCCGCCUGCCCUCCCGCCCCGGAUCAGCGCCUUACAACUCUUCACUUUGAAGUGCGUGUCGUGCCCUUGUCUCCGGAGACGCCGAGAGUCCUCCAGGCCCCUCGAGUGAAGUGCAGCCUGACCCACUUUCUCUGGCCCUACUUUUAUCUCCGCAUUCACGACCCACCCUCCAAGACCCACCUUCUAUGGGCGUGGAGCCCCGUGGGCUUCAAGGACUCACCACAGGAUUUCCACCAGUCUUUCAAUCCUGAGUGACCCCAACAGUCUGCUCCUCAGAUCCCUGCGGGCUGCUGGCGACACAGACCCUACCAGGGCAGCCUGACUUCCUCCGCGCUGCGGGCGGGCGCUGGCACCACCCGGCCUACCUGUGACCCCUGCGCGCGCCGGAGUGCCCCGGGAUAGCCUUUAUCCGUCAGUGCUUUUACUUAGCAAUUAAAUUAAGUUUGCAGGAUUUCUGAGCUUGCCGGAGACUCGAGGCCUGUACUCAGGGUCUUUGCUCCGUCUAAAGUUAAUAAAGCGUGUGUUGAAGAUGGUGUGGGAGGGAUGGGUCCAAGGUUCCCUCUGAUCCAUACACGCUUGAAAAACCAGAACCGCCGGUAUGAGGCUGUGAUGUUAAAAUUUCUCAGACCUGGAAAGAGCUCAAGCCAGGGCUUGGAGACUGCUCUCCGGGACACACCGGAGGGGCUCUGUCCUAGAGCAGCUGUCUCAGGAGAGGGUUGGAAAACCCUAAAGGGGUAGGGUAUUUCUGAUUCUCCUGCUAGGUUUCUGCAAAAAAAGGCUCAACUGGUGAAAUCUUUGUAGACGGCCUAUCCUCACCCCACCUCCCCACCCACGCGCUUGCAAGGCACAAAAAGCAAAUAAAAAGACUUGAAGUCA